rnacentral:rRNA from 1 species
GUGGGGAAUCUUGCGCAAUGGGCGAAAGCCUGACGCAGCCAUGCCGCGUGGAUGAUGAAGGUCUUAGGAUUGUAAAAUCCUUUCACCGGUGAAGAUAAUGACUGUAGCCGGAGAAGAAGCCCCGGCUAACUUCGUGCCAGCAGCCGCGGUAAUACGAAGGGGGCUAGCGUUGCUCGGAUUUACUGGGCGUAAAGGGCGCGUAGGCGGACAUUUAAGUCAGGGGUGAAAUCCCGGAGCUCAACCUCGGAACUGCCUUUGAUACUGGGUGUCUUGAGUAUGAGAGAGGUGUGUGGAACUCCGAGUGUAGAGGUGAAAUUCGUAGAUAUUCGGAAGAACACCAGUGGCGAAGGCGACACACUGGCUCAUUACUGACGCUGAGGCGCGAAAGCGUGGGGAGCAAACAGGAUUAGAUACCCUGUAGUCC